rnacentral:rRNA from 1 species
GCUGGCAGCUAGCUCUCUGCAACUCUCACACGGUCGCCCAGAGCUAAGCAGGGCUGUGCCUGGUCAUUACCUAAGUGGGAGACUACAUGGGAAAGCUAGGUUGCUGCUGGAA